GAUGAAGAACGCAGCGAAAUGCGAUAAGUAAUGUGAAUUGCAGAAUUCAGUGAAUCAUCGAAUCUUUGAACGCACCUUGCGCCCUUUGGCUAUUCCGAAGGGCAUGCCUGUUUGAGUAUCAUGAACACCUCAACUCUUUAUGGUUUUCCAUGAAGGGCUUGGACUUUGGGGGUCUUGCUGGCCUUUAGUCAGCUCCUCUCAAACGAAUCAGCUUUCCAGUGUUUGGCAGCGUCACAGGUGUGAUAACUAUCUACGCUUGUGGUUUUCUGCCAGGUAAUCCUCAGUGAUGGGGAUUCGCUGGGGCUUAUAAAUGUCUCUCCUCAGCGAAGACAGCUUUGUGAACGUUUGAUCUCCAAUCAGGUAGGACUACCCGCUGAACUUAAGCAUAUCAAUAAGCGGAGGA
rnacentral:misc_RNA from 1 species